rnacentral:rRNA from 1 species
CUACGGGAGGCUGCAGUGAGGAAUUUUGCGCAAUGGGGGCAACCCUGACGCAGCAACGCCGCGUGAGUGAAGAAGGCCUUUGGGUCGUAAAGCUCUGUCAACAGGGAAGAAGUUACCUGAUAUUAAUAGUAUCUGGUAUUGACGGUACCUGUGGAGGAAGCAUCGGCUAACUCCGUGCCAGCAGCCGCGGUAAUACGGGGGAUGCAAGCGUUAUUCGGAAUCAUUGGGCGUAAAGGGCACGCAGGCGGUCUUGUCAGUCAGAUGUGAAAGCCCGGGGCUCAACCCCGGACGUGCAUUUGAAACAGCAAGACUUGAGUACGGUAGAGGAAAGCGGAAUUCCUGGUGUAGAGGUGAAAUUCGUAGAUAUCAGGAGGAACACCGGUGGCGAAGGCGGCUUUCUGGACCGAAACUGACGCUGAGGUGCGAAGGCGUGGGUAGCGAACAGGAUUAGAUACCCCGGUAGUC